rnacentral:tRNA from 8 species
GGUCCCGUCGUCUAGCGGCCUAGGACAUCUGGUUUUCAGCCAGAGAAUCAGGGGUUCGAAUCCCCUCGGGAUCACCA